rnacentral:lncRNA from 1 species
CAGUAUUCAGCUUGCUGUGAAGUUGAUUGUGAUGUUUGUGUACGAAGUAUUCUGAGUUUUGUUGUGUUUUUACCCUUAUGGUGGCGAUGGAUUCAAUUGGGUCAUAUCGUUCACCUUCGAUCUGUAAGUUCGCAAUUUUCACUCUUUUUUUCCUCUUUAGAUUUUCAAAAUUUCUUGCUGAUUUUUAGCUGUUUGUUGUUCUUGUAUUUUUUUUUUAAUUAUGGGAAUUCAUAGUGGGUGCUGCUUUUUAGGGUUUGGAAAAAGUGGAGAUCUUUGAAUCGGAGGGUGGGAAAUCUAGCUAGGGUUUUGGUAUUGAGUUGCCCAGAAAAUGUGGGAAAUCCCUAGAAAGGAAGUUCUAAUUUUGAGAUGAUUUAUUGAUUAAAGUUUUGAUUUUUUUUUUCAUUGGGAUCCGCCAGAUACACCCAUUCAGCCAUUACACUUGUUUCUAAACUAGGUUCAACUUUUGCGUACAGUUCUUUUUUGCUUUUCGAGUAUCUUGGAGCUCUUAUUGCUGUCAAAUUUUGAAUUGAUGUCUUAAGUUGGACUUUUUGUCCUUGCAUUUUCUGUUAAUUCCUCUUUGUUUCUUUUGUAUUUCAG